AAAAAAAAAGUAAAAAA
rnacentral:sRNA from 1 species